AGCAGCCGCGGUAAUUCCAGCUCCAAUAGCGUAUAUUAAAGUUGCUGCAGUUAAAAAGCUCGUAGUUGAAUUUCGGGAUCAAUAUGUCGGUCGUGCCUCGGUACGCACUGGCUUAUUGGUUUCUCCCUUCUGACGAACCAUGAUGUCAUUAAUUUGGUGUCUUGGGAGAUCAGGACUGUUACUUUGAAAAAUUAGAGUGUUUAAAGCAGGCUCACGCUUGAAUACAUUAGCAUGGAAUAAUGAAAUAGGAUGUUUGAUUCUAUUUUGUUGGUUUCUAGGAUCGACGUAAUGAUUAAUAGGGAUAGUUGGGGGCAUUAGUAUUCAAUUGUCAGAGGUGAAAUUCUUGGAUUUAUUGAAGACUAACUACUGCGAAAGCAUUUGCCAAGGAUGUUUUCAUUAAUCAAGAACGAAAGUUAGGGGAUCGAAGACGAUCAGAUACCGUCGUAGUCUUAACCAUA
rnacentral:rRNA from 1 species